AUUGAACGCUGGCGGCAGGCCUAACACAUGCAAGUCGAGCGGAAGAAGGGAGCUUGCUCCUGGAUUCAGCGGCGGACGGGUGAGUAAUGCCUAGGAAUCUGCCUGGUAGUGGGGGAUAACGUCCGGAAACGGGCGCUAAUACCGCAUACGUCCUGAGGGAGAAAGUGGGGGAUCUUCGGACCUCACGCUAUCAGAUGAGCCUAGGUCGGAUUAGCUAGUUGGUGGGGUAAAGGCCUACCAAGGCGACGAUCCGUAACUGGUCUGAGAGGAUGAUCAGUCACACUGGAACUGAGACACGGUCCAGACGCCUACGGGAGGCAGCAGUGGGGAAUAUUGGACAAGGGGCGCAAGCCUGAUCCAGCCAUGCCGCGUGUGUGAAGAAGGUCUUCGGAUUGUAAAGCACUUUAAGUUGGGAGGAAGGGCAGUAAGUUAAUACCUUGCUGCUUUGACGUUACCAAAAGAAUAAGCACCGGCUAACUUCGUG
rnacentral:rRNA from 1 species